rnacentral:rRNA from 1 species
AACGAACGCUGGCGGCAGGCUUAACACAUGCAAGUCGAGCGCCCCGCAAGGGGAGCGGCAGACGGGUGAGUAACGCGUGGGAACGUACCCUUUGCUACGGAAUAGCUCCGGGAAACUGGAAUUAAUACCGUAUGUGCCCUACGGGGGAAAGAUUUAUCGGCAAAGGAUCGGCCCGCGUUGGAUUAGCUAGUUGGUGGGGUAAGGGCCUACCAAGGCUACGAUCCAUAGCUGGUCUGAGAGGAUGAUCAGCCACAUUGGGACUGAGACACGGCCCAAGCUCCUACGGGGGGCAGCGGUGGGGAAUAUUGGACAAUGGGCGCAAGCCUGAUCCAGCCAUGCCGCGUGAGUGAUGAAGGCCUUAGGUUUGUAAAGCUCUUUCACCGGAGAAGAUAAUGACGGUAUCCGGAGAAGAAGCCCCGGCUAACUUCGUGCCAGCAGCCGCAGUAAAAC